rnacentral:rRNA from 1 species
CUACGGGUUGCACCAGUAGGGAAUCUUAGACAAUGGGGGAAACCCUGAUCUAGCCAUGCCGCGUGAGUGAUGAAGGCCUUAGGGUUGUAAAGCUCUUUCGCUGGGGAAGAUAAUGACGGUACCCAGUAAAGAAACCCCGGCUAACUCCGUGCCAGCAGCCGCGGUAAUACGGAGGGGGUUAGCGUUGUUCGGAAUUACUGGGCGUAAAGGGCGCGUAGGCGGGCUAUUAAGUCAGGGGUGAAAUGCCGGGGCUCAACCCCGGAACUGCCUUUGAUACUGGUAGUCUUGAGUUCGAGAGAGGUGAGUGGAAUUCCGAGUGUAGAGGUGAAAUUCGUAGAUAUUCGGAGGAACAUCAGUGGCGAAGGCGACUCACUGGCUCGAUACUGACGCUGAGGUGCGAAAGUGUGGGGAGCAAACAGGAUUAGAUACCCUCGUAGUC